rnacentral:rRNA from 1 species
UACGUAGGGUGCGAGCGUUAAUCGGAAUUACUGGGCGUAAAGCGUGCGCAGGCGGUUUUGUAAGCCAGAUGUGAAAGCCCCGGGCUUAACCUGGGAAUGGCAUUUGGGACUGCAAGGCUUGAGUGCGGCAGAGGAGACUGGAAUUCCUGGUGUAGCAGUGAAAUGCGUAGAUAUCAGGAGGAAUACCGAUGGCGAAGGCAGGUCUCUGAGCUGACACUGACGCUCAUGCACGAAAGCGUGGGGAGCAAACAGG